GUACUCACUGUGGCAGCACAUGUAUUAAAACUGGAACAAUAUAGAGAAGAUUAACAUGGCCCCUGCACAAGGAUGACACUCAAAUUCGAAAAGCAUUCCGUAGUUUA